rnacentral:rRNA from 1 species
UACGAAGGGGGCUAGCGUUGCUCGGAAUUAUUGGGCGUAAAGCGCACGUAGGCGGCUUUCUAAGUCGGGGGUGAAAUCCUGGAGCUCAACUCCAGAACUGCCUUCGAUACUGGCGAUCUUGAGUCCGGAAGAGGUGAGUGGAACUCCUAGUGUAGAGGUGGAAUUCGUAGAUAUUAGGAAGAACACCAGUGGCGAAGGCGGCUCACUGGUCCGGUACUGACGCUGAGGUGCGAAAGCGUGGGGAGCAAACAGG